UACGGAAGGGUGCAAACGUUGCUCGGAAUCAUUGGGCGUAAAGCGCACGUAGGCGGCUCCAAAAGUCGGAUGUGAAAUCCCUGGGCUCAACCGAGGAAGUGCAUCCGAAACUGCGGAGCUUGAGUAUGGAAGAGGGUCGCGGAAUUCCCGGUGUAGAGGUGAAAUUCGUAGAUAUCGGGAGGAACACCAGUGGCGAAGGCGGCGACCUGGGCCAUUACUGACGCUGAGGAGCGAAAGCGUGGGGAGCGAACAGG
rnacentral:rRNA from 1 species